rnacentral:rRNA from 1 species
UGAAUACGAGACGCUAAGGCGUCGAAGUAGUGUAUGUCAUACUUCCAAGAAAAGCUUGCACUGUCAUAGAUAAAAAACGCCUGUACCAUAACCGACACAGGUGGGUAGGUAGAGUAUACUAAGGGGCGCGAGAUAACUCUCUCUAAGGAACUCGGCAAAAUAACUCCGUAACUUCGGGAGAAGGAGUGCCUUAUUCGUAAGGUUGCAAUAACAAGAUCCAAGCAACUGUUUAUCAAAAACACAGGUCUCCGCUAAGUCGUAAGACGAUGUAUGGGGGCUGACGCCUGCCCAGUGCCAGAAGGUUAAAGAAGUUGGUUAGCAAUUGCGAAGCUGAUAACUGAAGCCCUGGUGAACGGCGGCCGUAACUAUAACGGUCCUAAGGUAGCGAAAUUCCUUGUCGGGUAAGUUCCGACCCGCACGAAAGGCGUAAUGAUUUGGAUACUGUCUCGGAGAGGGGCUCGGUGAAAUAGACUUGUCUGUGAAGAUGCGGACUACCUGCACCAGGACAGAAAGACCCUAUGAAGCUUUACUGUAACUUGAAAUUGAAAUUGGACUUUAUUCGCGCAGUAUAGGUGGGAGGCGUUGAUUAUAAUCUUGUGGGAUUAUUGGAGCCAUCAGUGAGAUACCACUCUUGUAAUGUUAGAUUUCUAACUUUGAAUCAUUAUCUGGUCAAAGAACAGUUUCAGGCGGGCAGUUUGACUGGGGCGGUCGCCUCCUAAACGGUAACGGAGGCGUACAAAGGUUUCCUCUGAACGGUUAGAAAUCGUAUCUAGAGUGUAAAGGCAUAAGGAAGCUUGACUGUGAGACCUACAAGUCGAGCAGGGACGAAAGUCGGUCUUAGUGAUCUGACGGUACUGAGUGGAAAGGCCGUCACUCAACGGAUAAAAGUUACUCUAGGAUAACAGGCUGAUCUCCCCCAAGAGUUCACAUCGACGGGGAGGUUUGGCACCUCGAUGUCGGCUCAUCGCAUCCUGGGGCGGUAGUACGUCCCAAGGGUUGGGCUGUUCGCCCAUGAAAGCGGUACGCGAGCUGGGUUCAGAACGUCGUGAGACAGUUCGGUCCAUAUCCGGUGUAGGCGUUAGAAUAUUGAGAGGAGCCUUCUUUAGUACGAGAGGACCGAGAAGGACAUACCUCUGGUGUACCAGUUAUCGUGCCAACGGUAAACGCUGGGUAGCUAUGUAUGGAGUGGAUAACCGCUGAAAGCAUCUAAGUGGGAAGCCCACCUCAAGAUAAGUAUUCUCAGC